rnacentral:tRNA from 1 species
GGGCCCAUGGUUUAGCGGUUAUAACAUCGCCCUUACAAGGCGAGGGUCGCCAGUUCGAAUCUGGCUGGGCCCA